rnacentral:rRNA from 1 species
AAUAGAUACCCGGGUAGUCCACGCCGUAAACGAUGAGUGCUAAGUGUUAGGGGGUUUCCGCCCCUUAGUGCUGCAGCUAACGCAUUAAGCACUCCGCCUGGGGAGUACGGUCGCAAGACUGAAACUCAAAGGAAUUGACGGGGGCCCGCACAAGCGGUGGAGCAUGUGGUUUAAUUCGAAGCAACGCGAAGAACCUUACCAGGUCUUGACAUCCCAUUGACCACUAUGGAGACAUAGUUUUCCCUUCGGGGACAACGGUGACAGGUGGUGCAUGGUUGUCGUCAGCUCGUGUCGUGAGAUGUUGGGUUAAGUCCCGCAACGAGCGCAACCCUUGUUCUUAGUUGCCAUCAUUUAGUUUGGGCACUCUAAGGAGACUGCCGGUGACAAACCGGAGGAAGGUGGGGAUGACGUCAAAUCAUCAUGCCCCUUAUGACCUGGGCUACACACGUGCUACAAUGGACGGUACAAACGGUUGCCAACCCGCGAGGGGGAGCUAAUCCGAUAAAACCGUUCUCAGUUCGGAUUGUAGGCUGCAACUCGCCUACA